GGGGGUGUAGCUCAGUGGUAAAGCACUUGCCUAUCGUGCAUGUGGCCCCGCACUCCAUCCCCA
rnacentral:tRNA from 1 species